rnacentral:lncRNA from 10 species
UAGUACACCUGUUAUUAGAUUCUAAUCUCAAAAGUUGUUUUUAAGAUUCUUUCUGAAAUUUAGAUUAACUCUGCUUAUUCUUGUGAACCAACCAGUGAUCUCUGGCUGCUGUUCAGAAGAAAAAAGAGGGAUGGAUACUGUAAAAAUCUGGAUCAAUAGUCUAAUUCUGAAUACAUAUUGGAAUCAGCUAGUGACCCCAUAUCAGAUAUCAUCUGUUGGAACUCAAGAGUUAUGAGUGGCCCUCAACAUACUGACACUCUCUGACUGAGCUCCUCUCUACUCCAAAUACAAGAGACCUUAAUAGUUAGGUGGGAAUAUCAUCGCCCCUAUUCAGCCUGAAGAAGUUACAGAAGAUUGAUCUUUGUCCCUCUAUAAGCUUUAGGAUUAAAGGUUCCUUCUAAAAGGGAGGAGGGAUAUAUAUAUCAGAGAUGUUUGAAUCAGAGUGACUCCAUCUUGAAUAGGGGCUGGGUAAAGUAAGGCUGAGACCACUGGGCUGCAUUCCCAGGAGGUUAGGCUUUCUAAGUCACAGGGUGAGACAGGAGGUCAGCACAAGGUACAGGUCACAAGGACUUUGCUGGUAGAAGGAUGUGGUAAAGAAGCCAGCCAGGACGCAACAGAACCAAGAUAGCAAUGAAAGUAACCUCUGCUCAUCCUCACUGCUCAAUAUAUGCUAAUAAUAUUGCAUUAUCAUGCUAAAAUACACUCCCAUCCAGCACCAUGGAAGUUUACAAAUGCCAUGGCAAUGUCAGAAAUUUACUCUGUAUGGGCUAAAAUGGGAAGAACUCUCAGUUCUGGGA